UGGUCCGAGAGUAGUGGUGUUUACAAC
rnacentral:piRNA from 2 species